rnacentral:rRNA from 1 species
AGGCCACUGCUAUCGGGGUUUGACUAAGCCAUGCGAGUCGAGAGGUUUCUGACCUCGGCGUACUGCUCAGUAACACGUGGACAAUCAGCCCUGGAGAGGAGGAUAUCCCCGGGAAACUGGGAUUAAUACUCCAUAGUUCGUCUUAACUGGAAUGUUAUUCGAACGAAAGAUCCGUCGCUCCAGGAUGAGUCUGCGGCCGAUUAGGUAGUUGUUGGGGUAACGGCCCAACAAGCCUUUCAUCGGUACGGGUUGUGGGAGCAAGAGCCCGGAGAUGGAUUCUGAGACACGAAUCCAGGCCCUACGGGGCGCAGCAGGCGCGAAAACUUUACCAUGCGGGCAACCGUGAUAAGGAAACCCCGAGUGCCAGCACAGGCUGGCUGUCCGCCAGUUUAAAUAACUGGUGAAGAAAGGGCCGGGCAAGACCGGUGCCAGCCGCCGCGGUAAUACCGGCGGCUCGAGUGGUGGCCGCUAUUACUGGGCUUAAAGGGUCCGUAGCUUGAUAACUGGGUCCCUUGAGAAAUCCGCCAGCUCAACUGGCGGGCGUUCAGGGGAAACUUGUUUUCUAGGGACCGGGAGAGGUGAGGGGUACUGCCGGGGUAGGAGUGAAAUCCUGUAAUCCCGGUGGGACCACCUAUGGCGAAGGCAUCUCACCAGAACGGGUCCGACAGUGAGGGACGAAAGCUAGGGGCACGAACCGGAUUAGAUACCCGGGUAGUCCUAGCCGUAAACGAUACUCGCUAGGUGUCGGCCACGGUGCGACCGUUGUCGGUGCCGUAGGGAAGCCGUGAAGCGAGCCACCUGGGAAGUACGGCCGCAAGGCUGAAACUUAAAGGAAUUGGCGGGGGAGCACCACAACGGGUGGAGCUUGCGGUUUAAUUGGAUUCAACGCCGGAAAUCUUACCGGGACCGACAGCAAUAUGAAGGCCAGGCUGAAGACUUUGCCGGAUUAGCUGAGAGGUGGUGCAUGGNNNNCGUCAGUUCGUACUGUGAAGCAUCCUGUUAAGUCAGGCAACGAGCGAGACCCACGCCCACAGUUGCCAGCGUACUCUCUGGAGUGACGGGUACACUGUGGGGACCGCCGCUGCUAAAGCGGAGGAAGGAAUGGGCAACGGUAGGUCAGUAUGCCCCGAAUAUCCCGGGCUACACGCGAGCUACAAUGGUUGGUACAAUGGGUAUCUACCCCGAAAGGGGACGGGAAUCUCCUAAAACCAAUCUUAGUUCGGAUUGAGGGCUGCAACUCGCCCUCAUGAAGCUGGAAUCCGUAGUAAUCGCGUUUCAACAGAACGCGGUGAAUACGUCCCUGCU